rnacentral:rRNA from 1 species
AGUGAACGCUGGCGGUAGGCCUAACACAUGCAAGUCGAACGGCAGCACAGUAAGAGCUUGCUCUUACGGGUGGCGAGUGGCGGACGGGUGAGGAAUACAUCGGAAUCUACUUUUUCGUGGGGGAUAACGUAGGGAAACUUACGCUAAUACCGCAUACGACCUACGGGUGAAAGCAGGGGAUCUUCGGACCUUGCGCGAUUGAAUGAGCCGAUGUCGGAUUAGCUAGUUGGCGGGGUAAAGGCCCACCAAGGCGACGAUCCGUAGCUGGUCUGAGAGGAUGAUCAGCCACACUGGAACUGAGACACGGUCCAGACUCCUACGGGAGGCAGCAGUGGGGAAUAUUGGACAAUGGGCGCAAGCCUGAUUCAGCCAUACCGCGUGGGUGAAGAAGGCCUUCGGGUCGUAAAGCCCUUUUGUUGGGAAAGAAAAGCAGCAGGUUAAUACCCCGCUGUUCUGACGGUACCCAAAGAAUAAGCACCGGCUAACUUCGUG